rnacentral:rRNA from 1 species
UACGUAGGGAGCAAGCGUUGUCCGGAAUCAUUGGGCGUAAAGCGCGCGUAGGUGGCUUCGUAAGUCCGUUGUGAAAGUCAAAGGCUCAACCUUUGAAAGCCGAUGGAUACUGCGGAGCUAGAGUACGGAAGAGGCGAGUGGAAUUCCCGGUGUAGCGGUGAAAUGCGCAGAUAUCGGGAGGAACACCUAUGGCGAAGGCAGCUCGCUGGGACGGUACUGACGCUGAGACGCGAAAGCGUGGGGAGCAAACAGG